ensembl:lncRNA
GCUGUUCUGUAAUAUCAUCAACACAAGACUCGUACACUUCCUCACCGAGCACAAUGUCCUCAGCAAAAGUCAGAUUGGAUUCUUACCAAAUUAUAGAACAUCUGACCACAUCUUCACCCUACACACCCUGAUCGACAAAUACAUUAACCAAAACAAAUCCAAAAUAUUUGCUUGCUUUGUAGAUUUCCAGAUGGCAUGAAGGUCUGCUGUCAAAACUUCUAGAAUCAGGUAUUGGGGGUAAAACAUACAAUAUUAUAAAAACAAUGUAUUCAAAGAAUCAAUGCGCAAUUAAAAUUGGAAAUAAACGAACAGAAUUGUUCACUCAAGGGCGGGGUGUGAGGCAGGGCUGUCCACUAUCACCGACCCUCUUCAAUAUCUACAUUAAUGAAUUAGCGACAGUCCUAGAACAAUCAGCAGCACCUGGCCUCACACUACAUGACUCCGACAUAAAGCUCUUGCUGUUUGCAGAUGAUCUGGUUCUGCUGUCUCCAACAGAAGAGGGUCUACAGCAGAACCUAGACGUCCUCCACACGUUCUGUCAGACCUGGGCCCUGACCAUUAAUCCCAACAAAACUAAAGUACUAACAUUCCAGAAGAGACCCAGAGUUCAGGGAAAGAGACACAGCUUCACUCUUGAGAUUACACAACUGCAGAAUAUCUGAGUACAGUGAAAGACUGUAAAUUAAGAAGACAGAUGACGAGGUACAGACUGAGCAGUCAUACUCUGACUAUAGAGACGGGCAGAUAUCGACAGCACUGGCUGCCCAGAGAGAGCCGUAUCUGCCCUUACUGUAAUCAUGGGGAAGUGGAGACAGAGCAACACUUCCUCACCAGCUGCUCUAACUAUGAAGAAAUUAGAAAUAAAUUUUAUCCCAAAUUUGAAAUACUUUACCCUGACUUCAAAAUGUUGAACAAGAAAACACAACUUCAGUAUUUAUUAGGUGAAAAACAAGACUGUAUCUUACUAGCAGCAAGAUACAUUGAUGCCUGUCACAAAAAGAGGGAGGAGUCAACAAAUCAGUGAUGCGCCUACACACACACACACACACCACAAACACACAAACAUACACCACACACGCACACCACAUUGAAUUAUAAAUUGUUUGAAGAAUUUUAAAAUGUUAUUUGUUCUACUUUUUAAAUGUAUAUACAUGC